CACAGGGAAACUUGUGCUAAUACCGGAUAAGCCCUUACGGGGAAAGAUUUAUCGCCGAAAGAUUGCCCGCGUCUGAUUAGCUAGUUGGUGAGGUAAUGGCUCACCAAGGCGACGAUCAGUAGCUGGUCUGAGAGGAUGAUCAGCCACAUUGGGACUGAGACACGGCCCAAACUCCUACGGGAGGCAGCAGUGGGGAAUAUUGGACAAUGGGCGCAAGCCUGAUCCAGCCAUGCCGCGUGAGUGAUGAAGGCCCUAGGGUUGUAAAGCUCUUUUGUGCGGGAAGAUAAUGACGGUACCGCAAGAAUAAGCCCCGGCUAACUUCGUGCCAGCAGCCGUGUUAAUACGAAGGGGGCUAGCGUUGCUCGGAAUUACUGGGCGUAAAGGGUGCGUAGGCGGUUCUUUUUAGUCUGAGGGGAAAUUCCUGGAGCUAACUCCA
rnacentral:rRNA from 1 species